UCUCAAAGAUUGGAGAGUAAAACUGAAACAAACAAAAAACACACUUUGAAAUCCAUCCCUUUGGCAGCUGUCCCUUCUUCAUUUUGGCAGACAGAGGGUUGCUGGCAAGACUAGUGAGGUCUCACAGGUGUCCCUGAACCACAUCCCUCUUUUGCAGAAGAGAUCACAGUUGUGAGGAGCCACCUCGUGAGGAUUUGUCAGUAAUUAAGUGGGCACUGCAUAAAAAUACCUGGGAAUGAAUGCAAACAAUGUGCUGUGGAGAGUGACAAUAAAACAGGGAUGACAGUAUAAAGAGAAAAUGAUGAAUGUAUUAACACAGCUGCUUUUUUCUCUGAGGAGCUCAGAACUGCUGUCAGAAAUGUUGAAACCUGCCAGAAUUCUUUUUCUCUUUUCUUCCCAAACACCUUCAGAGAUAGGGAAUUUUCCUUCUUUAUUGCAUGCUGCUUUGAAGUACCUGUGAUGAAAUAAUUCACUGGGGAUGAGUUUAGAUUUAAAAGUCCAAUUUCACUUAUCUCUUGAGGGUAAGAGGGGAACAUUGGAGCUGAGCUUUUUGUUACAAGAAAAGCUGGCAUUAGUACAACAGGCUGAUUUGGCAAAAGCUGCUUCUCAAAAGUUGAAAGAUGUUAGUCUUCCAAAGGAAGUUACAAAGCAAAUUUUUUGUUGCUUAAAUCUAGAUUUUCAUUUCAAAAGAUUUGUAGCAAUAAAUCUAUUGCAGAUGUAUAUAUUU